UACGUAGGCAGCGAGCGUUGUUCGGAGUUACUGGGCGUAAAGAGUGCGUAGGCGGUUUUCUAAGUUUGGUGUGAAAUCUCCCGGCUUAACUGGGAGGGUGCGCCGAAAACUGGAAGGCUUGAGUAUGGGAGAGGUAAGCGGAAUUCCUGGUGUAGCGGUGAAAUGCGUAGAUAUCAGGAGGAACACCGGUGGCGAAGGCGGGUCUCUGGGCCGAUACUGACGCUGGAGGAGCGAAAGCGUGGGGAGCGAACAGG
rnacentral:rRNA from 1 species